AACGAACGCUGGCGGCAUGCCUAACACAUGCAAGUCGAACGAGACCUUCGUGUCUAGUUGCGCACGGGUGCGUAACGCGUGGUAACCUACCCUUAGGUUCGGAAUAACUCCCCUAAGGGGUUGCUAAUACCGGUUAAUGUCUUCGGACCAAAGAUUUAUCGCCUUUGGAUGGGCCCGCGUUGGCUUAGCUAGUUGGUAGGGUCAAAGCCUACCAAGGCGACGAUCCAUAGCUGGUAUGAGAGGAUGAUCAGUCACCAUGGGACUGCGACACGGCCCAGACUCGUACGGGAGGAAGAAGUGGGUAAUAUUGGACAAUGGGCGAAAGCGUGAUCCAGCAAUGCAGCGUGAGUCAUGAAGGCCUUAGGGUUGUAAAGCUCUUUUACCCGAGAUGAUAAUGACAGUAACGGGAGAAUAAGCUCCGGCUAACUACGUG
rnacentral:rRNA from 1 species